rnacentral:lncRNA from 1 species
ACAAAUUUCAAGGCUGUGGAACCAGGAGAAGGUCUGAGGAACGGAGCUCCCGGAAGUAAAGGCAUUGCCUCACAUUUGAGUAGACUCGGAGCGGGCCCCAGAGGAGAGGUAGGGAGUGGUCCUGGCAGCUGUUGGAUGAAGCAGGUUGGAAGGGCCUUGAGAGCAGAGGUCUGUUGUUUAACAUCAUCUUCGAGUGUACCCUAGCACGGCGGUCUCGGCUGGAGAGAUUUUCUGUGUGCUGAACUUAGAUGGAUAUGUCAAAGUGUACUCAAGCUUUCUUGAACUUUUUCCCCAUCUGAAAUCACUAAAAAUGUGCAGUAUUUCAAAAAGCCCAAGUUUGCCUCCAAAUAUGCUUGUGAAAUGUAUUUCAACACACAUAUCCAACAGUAAGAACAUGCUGGCCAUAUCAAUCCUCACAGCAACUCUUUAUUGCAGCAUAUUGAGGUUUAAUCAGGAAACAGGUUAGAGCUUCUAUGUACAGGUUUUCUUCUAGUUUGAGGUUUUCCUGAAAUAUGUGACACAGACUCGUUAUACAAAUGGCCACUAGUAAAUUAUUUCCAGCAUGUGUUACUCUGUCAACAGUGAUGCUUUCACAGAACCUUUGUCCUCCACAAUUCCCCCCCUCCAUUUAAACCAGGACAUUUCCAUCUCAGUGAGCCACUGCUGUAUUUGGGACCUAAGCGAGAAGCUGGAUAAACAGAGGCGCUAUUAUUAUUGUUACUGUCAAUAUAGUUUCCUUCCCUAGUUAUAACUGAUUAUUUCCUUUUUUCCAUUUCAAAACAUUUUUGUUCAAAUGCUUCUGAUGGCUCUCGUCACAAGCAAUAUUCCUUCGGAAAUAAUGCACCUUUUUAAUUUCUCAACCUAAAAUACACAGCCCGUCAUCUCCAUAGUAGGAUGAUGCUGUUAGAGAGAUCAGCUGUGUCUAGUUGGAGAAUUUUUAGGGGAAUAAGGGAUUACAGGAGCGAGUGCUUCCUCUAUUAGUUCGUGCAAAGUGAAGACAAGAAAGAAAGUCUGUAGGAUGUAAGAGGUGAUGUUACUCCAGCAAGAGUUGGGCAUUUGGAAACACAUGGAGUUAAAAGCAGUUUUCACUUAAUGUGCUUUGUUGUUUCUGCUACAAUAAAAAUAAAUAAUAAAAA